rnacentral:rRNA from 1 species
GACAGAGGGUGCAAACGUUGCUCGGAAUCACUGGGCGUAAAGGGCGUGUAGGCGGGAAGGAAAGUCAGAUGUGAAAUCCCCAGGCUCAACCUGGGAACUGCAUUUGAAACUCCCUUUCUUGAGUACCGGAGAGGAAAGUGGAAUUCCUGGUGUAGAGGUGAAAUUCGUAGAUAUCAGGAGGAACACCAGUGGCGAAGGCGGCUUUCUGGACGGUACUGACGCUGAGACGCGAAAGCGUGGGGAGCGAACAGG